rnacentral:rRNA from 1 species
GACGAACGCUGGCGGCGUGCUUAACACAUGCAAGUCGAACGGAAAGGCCCUGCUUUUGUGGGGUGCUCGAGUGGCGAACGGGUGAGUAACACGUGAGUAACCUGCCCUUGACUUUGGGAUAACUUCAGGAAACUGGGGCUAAUACCGGAUAGGAGCUCCUGCUGCAUGGUGGGGGUUGGAAAGUUUCGGCGGUUGGGGAUGGACUCGCGGCUUAUCAGCUUGUUGGUGGGGUAGUGGCUUACCAAGGCUUUGACGGGUAGCCGGCCUGAGAGGGUGACCGGCCACAUUGGGCCUGGGGUCGGGCCCAGACCCCUACGGGGGGAAGGGGUGGGGAAUUUUGCAAAAGGGGCGGAAGCCUGAUGGAGCAACGCCGCGUGCGGGAUGGCGGCCUUCGGGUUGUAAACCGCUUUCGCCUGGGACGAAGGGGGGGUGACGGUAAUGGGUAAAGAAGCACCGGCUAAUUACGU